GACAGUUUGGCCGAGUGGUUAAGGCGACAGACUCGAACUGGCCAAUCAGCGUCACGCAAUCUGUUGGGUUCGCCCGCGCAGGUUCAAAUCCUGCAGCUGUCG